AUUGGACGCUGGCGGCAUGCCUUACACAUGCAAGUCGAACGGUAACAGGUCUUCGGAUGCUGACGAGUGGCGAACGGGUGAGUAAUACAUCGGAACGUGCCCGAGAGUGGGGGAUAACGAGGCGAAAGCUUUGCUAAUACCGCAUACGAUCUCAGGAUGAAAGCAGGGGACCGCAAGGCCUUGCGCUCACGGAGCGGCCGAUGGCAGAUUAGGGAGUGGGUGGGAUAAAAGCUUACCAAGCCGACGAUCUGUAGCUGGUCUGAGAGGACGACUGGCCACACUGGGACUGAGACACGGCCCAGACUCCUACGGGAGGCAGCAGUGGGGAAUUUUGGACAAUGGGCGCAAGCCUGAUUCAGCCAUGCCGCGUGCAGGAUGAAGGCCUUCGGGUUGUAAACUGCCUUUGUACGGAACGAAAAGACUCUGGUUAAUACCUGGGGUCCAUGACGGUACCGUAAGAAUAAGCACCGGCUAACUACGUGCCAGCCGCCGCCGUAACAC
rnacentral:rRNA from 1 species